rnacentral:rRNA from 1 species
CGAAGGCGGGACCGAUGACUGGGGUGAAGUCGUAACAAGGUAGCCGUAUCGGAAGGUGCGGCUGGAUCACCUCCUUUCUAAGGAA